UCCCCUAUACUUUCCUUAUCUCGAUGUUAUGUACUCAAUUCGGAGUACCUGGUUUAGUUCUUUGUUUUGAAACCCAGAGUAAGUUUUUAUUGAACUCUCAUGCUCUCUUUUCUUUGUCUCUAUCUGCUGCAGGAAAACUUUACGCAGGUCACCACCUACAUCCUGCACCAACAUCGCUCCCCUAUUCGGUAGUACCAGAUUGGAAAUGAACGAAGUGAAGCCACCCUUCCACUGCAGAAAUCGACCACCGCCAGAAAUUUCUAGGGUUCUGGUGAGAUCCGACUAUGAUGCAGAACCAACACGACCACCAUUCUCUCAAAUCUUUCUCCUUCGAAACCUUAAAUGUUAUAGCCACCAUCACUGCCACUCUAUAUCUCAUUACAAUCGAAACAAAAAGAAACUUUGAUUUUAGGUAUUAAGUAAAAAAAAUUCUUAAUUUACUUUUUUCUAAUUGAAUCGGUGAUGUAUUAGACAAUAUUUUUCAUAUACGCUAUGUGGUUUUGUCAAUGCAACGAAAGGCUUUUGAAUAAUUUUUAUGUUAAUAUUUGAGAUAAAAAAAACAUUACACGAGAAGAACCACUAUUGUUGCUUUAACAUAUUUCAUGUCUAACUUUAUUUCAUUUUCUCCAACAAGCAUUAUUGAAUGACAAUAGGCAUCUGAUAUGUUACUAUUGUAUUUUGUUUAGCCUAAAAUGCUAAAAUAAUGUCAUUUAUUUGUUAUAAUUUUAGGUCAAUUGAUCCUAUUUCUCCAACUAGAAGCUUGAGUCGGGUCUUUAAAUUGGUGAACCAUCUUAUAGACUAUUUAUUCAUCUACUGACUGCAUUUAGGUUUUGCAAGGGAAAGUACAUUUUCCUUUUUCAGGGUAUUAAGUUGGAUGAUGCUUGAGAUUCUGGUUGACUCGACAACCCAAAUGAAAACAACAUCAAAGACCACAUGGGUCAGGUAUGAAGGCUCUUGGUUCCGUCAUAAAUGUUAAUCAAUAACGAUAUAUGUUAUUUCUUUCUUGAUUGCAUUCAACAUAAAUUGAUAUCUUAUUCCAGACAUGAAUGUUUAUGCUCCUGGAAGAAUAAGGCAUAGUUUUAUAUGUACUGAAUGCACCUUUGUUUAUUUUCAUUGAUCUAGCAUAAAUAUGAUAUGAAUAUUCAUGUUUGGCAGAUUGUUUAUAUAAUGAAGUUUGGGUUUGACUUUGUAAGGAUUUCAAAUCCCACCAUGAGUUUCAACUUUUGUUUCUUCUACUUCUUUUAUUUGUUCAUGUUUUCAUUAAUGAUGUUGCCAUGUAUUUGUGGACUUACCUACUAAAUUUAUUUUAUUAUUUCCUAUUAAGGUUUGGACCAUUAAUGAUGAUCUUAAUUUGAUUGGGAAAGCUAAUAAUGGGUGGUGAAUUGCAUGAUUCUUGCCCCGUAGAAGCAUUGAAAGAUAAUAAGUGUACCUCCCUACCCUUGCUAGCAAUUUCAUUUUAAUUUUUUUCUAAUUUUAUGGUUUAUAUCAACCUUUUGGUAAAAGAUACAACAAUUUUCUUUUUUUUUUCCUGCUUUCUUUGGUUUAUUUCAAUCUUUUGCUAAAAGAUACAGAGGUCGUGUGGUUAAAGAAUAGAGAUCAAGGGUUACUGUUGAAUUGAUCUACGUGGUUAUGUUUUCUUUUGAGUCCCUUAAAAGUGUGGGUGGGUUUAUCUAUGGUCUUUUUGGUAAUAUGUUAUCUACCGCAGGGUGAGUUUGGUGUGUGUGUGUGUAUGUUUGUAUGUGUGUUUGUUUACUGGGUAAACAUGCUUUAAGAGUUGGUUGUAGUUGACAUCUCUUAGUUUAUAGGAAAUAUCUAUGUUUUAUUGGCUAAUUUUGUGGAAGGUUGACAUGUAUCUAGUUAUUCGCUUGAAAAACUAGGUUUGGAUGGGCUAAUUUCAGAAUUAACUUGGUCAGGAAGAAGUACUAUCUCUUACAUAUAGGUGUAUGGGAGAAGGCUGAAGUGUUGCUGGACUGUUAUACACCUCAACUUAAAAACAUUUUCGAUUUUACCCUUGGGUUUGGAGCAGCAUCAAGUGUUGCACACUUUUCCUUUUCACAAGUUGGCAUUUUGGGACUAUAGUUAGAGUUAGAUCAUGCUUUAUUUCUUAAACUUUAAUGAUGUAGUCUAGGAGUUGUUAGCAUUGUACUUGCCAAGAAAUCUCGAACACAACAAUUAAGAGUUUGUUAACAAAUGUAUUUAUAUGUUUGUUUUAACACCAAACACAUAUAUAUUAGGGUUCGUUUCUCUUUUUCUACUCUUUAUGUUUCUCAUUAUUUUCAUUUUGUUAA